AUUGAACGCUGGCGGCAGGCCUAACACAUGCAAGUCGAGCGGUAGAGAGAAGCUUGCUUCUCUUGAGAGCGGCGGACGGGUGAGUAAUGCCUGGGAAUCUGCCUGAUAGUGGGGGAUAACGUCCGGAAACGGACGCUAAUACCGCAUACGUCCUACGGGAGAAAGUGGGGGCUCUUCGGACCUCACGCUAUCAGAUGAGCCUAGGUCGGAUUAGCUAGUUGGUGGGGUAAAGGCUCACCAAGGCGACGAUCCGUAACUGGUCUGAGGGGAUGAACAGUCACACUGGAACUGAGACACGGUCCAGACUCCUACGGGAGGCAGCAGUGGGGAAUAUUGGACAAUGGGCGAAAGCCUGAUCCAGCCAUGCCGCGUGUGUGAAGAAGGUCUUCGGAUUGUAAAGCACUUUAAGUUGGGAGGAAGGGUCGUUACCUAAUACGUGGCGAUUUUGACGUUACCGACAGAAUAAGCACCGGCUAACUCUGUGCCAGCCGCCGCAGUAAAAC
rnacentral:rRNA from 1 species